GACGCGCCGAGGUCCCAGAGAGGCGGUGGGUAGGUGGGGGCGGGGUCCAGGUGGACAGAGACCACGUGUCUGUCCAGUCUUCUGAUUCUACCUCGCCCCAGGAGAGAUGGUGAAAUUAAAGCGGAAGCUUCGGGAAACUUCGAUGAAUUAUCCACACGGGCCUAAGACCCUGCCCCUCGCCCCCCUUGUCUCAGCUGUUUCCUCCCACGUGUCCCAAGGAGCUGUCAUGAUGCCUGCAUGUCAAAGGCCAGUGUCAGGACAUCUGAGGGAGCCUUGGAGAGGUCAAGAGAUGGCCAACAAGAUCACCCGUUCCGAGGACCCAGCACCCACCCAGGCUCUGCAUCUCUGCCCUGACACCGAGUCAGGGAACCCAAGUGAGGGACCCCAAGAGUGUCCUUAGGAUUGUGCCCUGAGACUCACCUGAGACCACAGGCUGUCUCCCCCAGGGGCAGGCCAGUGAGAGGCCACUGUCUGCAGGGUGAUAAGCACGUCCCUCGUGCUAGUCAGUGGGGACGGACCAGAGGAACCUGGAAGGGGUGGGAGGACUCAGGACGAGUGUUCCAGCCCUGAAAGUUGCAGAAACUCCUCAGGUGGGAUCUACCAGCCCCUCGGCUGGGAAGAGGCAGUGCAUGUGGCACCCACAGGUGUCUGGCUCUCCCAUGGCUCCCUGUCCCUUCUGCAGCCCCACGUGUUGGGGGACACCAGCUGGGUUGGGAGGGCACACUGCACAUGGCCUUUCUCAUUGGUAUUCAUGUUUCCGUCCCCAUAGCACCAGCACAGCCUGCAGGGGUCUAUUGACUUGAUCAGGAUCAUCGCCAACAAGAACAAAAAUCUCACAUCUAUAUAAAGAGGUGUAAGUGGUGACUAGUCGGAAGGGGCCGUGCUGUCCUCUUGCUCCUUCCCCAGUCACAGCUCAGGGGGCCCGGCCACACUUGAGUGACUGUCCCUGGGCUGGGCAGCCUCACUCACUGGACCUGGGCAUCGAUGGGUAGCUGGCCUGCCUCCUUGUACCCCCGACUUUGGUGGUGUCUGCUGCCGUUUUAGCCAUGUAAAUGGAAGUCUCUUUUUGAAACUUCAUGUUCUUUUUAUACAAGAUUCUUUUGUUGCCGAACCAGCUGGAGACCUGUGGACACACAGAGAUAGCGGUCUCUAGAAAAGCUGACUCAGUAAUGAGAUGAUGGGAACAGACAGCAGGCUCCCUGAGGUGUCUGUACUCCCACUGCUUGGGAGGAUCAUCUUUGAGUGACAGCUUGCAACCCUGGGGCUGGGUGAGAGGACAGGGCUGAGAAGAUGGCACUGAUUGAACUGUGGACCCAGGGAAACAUCUGUGGUGGGUCGAGGACACCCUGGAGCUGGCAUGGCUUACAGGAGAGGGUGCAACCUUGCUGCCUAAGAACCAGGUGCAGCUGGGACCUGGAACAGGGAAGGAGCUGGAGGGAAAACAGGCCUGUCUGUGAUGUGCUCAGAGUGCAUGCACUCAGGGCAGGGGGCGCAACAGACUCAAUUCUGGAUUCCUCUUUAGGAGAAGCAAAAGCCAGGGAGACACGCAUCCCUUAAGACCCAGUAACCCCAUUUCUGGGAAUCAGUUCAAGGGAAGAACAUGAUCGAAUUCAAGACUUAUCAAAGGAUAACACGGGUGAACUGACAGGGGCGUGGGAAGGGGCCGAGCACUAAGCCAGCCUGUGUUCAGCCUUGGAGCUGGCUGGGAGGGAGCCGUUACCACUCCCGUUCCACGAGCAGGCAGUCCCGGCGGCGGAGGAGCUGGCCCAGGGCUAAGUGGUGCCAGCCCAGCUCUGACUCCAAACCUGCACCGAGACUCCCAGGGCAGCGCUUCUCCCCACGGGGUGUUCACCGUGGUGGGGCCGUCCUGUGCACGGUAGGUUGCUGAACAGCGUCCCUGGUCUCCACUACCAGAUGCCAGGAGUGCCCCAGCUAGAGUUGUGAAAAUGAAAAUGUCCCCUGUGGGCAGAAGCCCCCAGGUGAGACCCUGGGCCAGUGUCUCCCUACGAGCAUGGAGAUGUGCACAACCGGAAACACUUCAAUAUCCCAAAGUUAGGCACGUGUCCCUGCGGUGGAGUAUAUGUGUAGGUUAAUAAACAGAAAUAAACGGUUGAGUUGUGGUGGCAGGACUGUGGAUGGAUGACCUUUCCUCCUUUAAAAAUUUCUUUCUGUAAUGUCCCUACAUCAUCCUCGCAAUGUUAACCAUGAAAAGAAACAGCCCCUGUGUGUGCUCCCUGCUCCUCAAUGUGUCUCUCCUCUCCUGGGUGUCCUUCUGCCCCUGGGUGUGAGGGUGACCUUCUCUUAACCAAGCCAGAGAAACACCUGGUUCCCACUCACCUACAAGGGAUGUGCCGGAACAUCUUUGUGGACUAGGUUUGCAGAAGAAUGGUGGCAAGCGGUUUUCCCUGUUGAAUUCAGCUGGCAUUUUAGAGGGACAAAGAGCAAACUUCCUGAGG
rnacentral:lncRNA from 1 species